rnacentral:rRNA from 1 species
UGGGGGAUAUUGCACAAUGGGGGAAACCCUGAUGCAGCGACACCGCGUGGGUGAAGAAGCGCUUCGGCGUGUAAAGCCCUAUCAGUGGGGAAGAAAAAGGACGGUACCCAAAGAAGAAGCACCGGCUAAAUACGUGCC